rnacentral:rRNA from 1 species
CUCUGACGUUAGCGGCGGACGGGUGAGUAACACGUGGAUAACCUACCUAUAAGACUGGGAUAACUUCGGGAAACCGGAGCUAAUACCGGAUAAUAUAUUGAACCGCAUGGUUCAAUAGUGAAAGACGGUUUUGCUGUCACUUAUAGAUGGAUCCGCGCCGCAUUAGCUAGUUGGUAAGGUAACGGCUUACCAAGGCAACGAUGCGUAGCCGACCUGAGAGGGUGAUCGGCCACACUGGAACUGAGACACGGUCCAGACUCCUACGGGAGGCAGCAGUAGGGAAUCUUCCGCAAUGGGCGAAAGCCUGACGGAGCAACGCCGCGUGAGUGAUGAAGGUCUUCGGAUCGUAAAACUCUGUUAUUAGGGAAGAACAAAUGUGUAAGUAACUAUGCACGUCUUGACGGUACCUAAUCAGAAAGCCACGGCUAACUACGUGCCAGCAGCCGCGGUAAUACGUAGGUGGCAAGCGUUAUCCGGAAUUAUUGGGCGUAAAGCGCGCGUAGGCGGUUUUUUAAGUCUGAUGUGAAAGCCCACGGCUCAACCGUGGAGGGUCAUUGGAAACUGGAAAACUUGAGUGCAGAAGAGGAAAGUGGAAUUCCAUGUGUAGCGGUGAAAUGCGCAGAGAUAUGGAGGAACACCAGUGGCGAAGGCGACUUACUGGUCUGUAACUGACGCUGAUGUGCGAAAGCGUGGGGAUCAAACAGGAUUAGAUACCCUGGUAGUCCACGCCGUA